CAAAAACAUGUCUUUUAGAUUAUAAUUUAAAGUCUAACCUGCCCACUGAUUUAAUUAUUUAAAGGCCGCAGUAUUUUGACUGUGCAAAGGUAGCAUAAUCAUUUGUCUUUUAAUUGAAGGCUGGAAUGAAUGGUUGAAUGAAGUAUUAACUGUCUCAUUUUUAUAAAUUAAGAAUUUAGCUUUUUAAUCAAAAGGUUUAAAUAACAUUAAAAGACGAGAAGACCCUAUAGAUUUUUAUAUUAAAUUAUUAUAAUUUUAUUAAGUAAUAAAUUUUAUAAUUAUAUAAUUUUAUAUUUGAUUGGGGUGAUUAAAAAAUUUAAUAAACUUUUUUUUUAUUUAAACAUUAAUAUAUGAUUUAUUGAUCCAAUAAUAUUGAUUAAAAGAUUAAAUUACCUUAGGGAUAACAGCGUAAUUUUUUUAGAGAGUUCUUAUCGAUAAAAAAGAUUGCGACCUCGAUGUUGAAUUAAAGGUUAUUUUCAAAUGCAGAAGUUUGAAGUUUAGGUCUGUUCGACCUUUGAAUCUUUACAUGAUCUG
rnacentral:rRNA from 1 species